rnacentral:lncRNA from 1 species
UAGAUUAUACGGAAUAUAAGAUAUGCAAUAUGCUAACCAAGUAAAUGUGAUUUCAAGUGUUAAAUAUUGGAAAACAAUUUAUAGAUUGUAUUUGGGUUUAUAGGUUCAUGCCUAGGAUUUAGAUUUACUAAGUAAAGGUUUGGGUAUAAUAAACCAUAUUAUAUACAUUCUAUUUGGGUUUAUACUUCUUUGAUUAGGGUUUAGCUUAAUCUAUUUAUUUAGGUUUAGGGUUUAUGGUAUAUUUGGAUUAGGGUUUAUGGUAUAUUUGGAUUAGGGUUUAGUGAUUAGAAUGUAAGGUUUAGUAUUUAGAAGGUGAGGGGGUAUGGUUGGGAUGAGCAUUAACUUCUUUCAUGCAAUCAUAGAUAUUUUAUAGUUUCACCAAUAUGUACUAUGUUAUUUAUUUUGUUUCAUUCUAUUUGGGUUUUGUGUUUAUAUUUGGGUUUAGGGUUUAUAUUUGAGUUAUGGUUUAGUGAUUAGAAUUUAGGGUUUAGAUUUACUAAGUAAAUGUUUGGGUAUAGUAAACCAUAUAAUAUAUAUUAUAUUUGGGUUUAUAUUUUCUUGAUUAGGGUUUAGCUUAAUCUAUUUAUUUCAAGUAAAUGUGCUUUCAAAUGUUUAAUAUUGGAAAACAAUUUAUAGAUUGUAUUUUGGUUGGUAGGUUCAUGCCUAGGGUUUAGGUUU